AGCUACUGCUCUGGUCGUUCUAACCGGCGACUGAGCGUGUCUCCGCACUCCCGGGGCGAUUCUUUCUCAUUGCGAGUGGAGGCGCACCAAGAGCGAGCACGCUGAAACCCGAAAGAUGGUGAACUAUGCCUGGCCAGGACGAAGCCAGGGGAAACCCUGGUGGAGGUCCGCAGCGAUUCUGACGUGCAAAUCGAUCGUCGGAGCUGGGUAUAGGGGCGAAAGACCAAUCGAACCAUCUAGUAGCUGGUUCCCUCUGAAGUUUCCCUCAGGAUAGCUUGCGCU
rnacentral:rRNA from 1 species